GCCGGCUUGGCACAGUUGGUAGCGCAGUUGAUUUGUAAUCAUCAGGUCGGGGGUUCAAAUCCCUCAGCCGGCACCA
rnacentral:tRNA from 1 species